UACGGAGGGUGCAACGUUGCUCGGGAUCAUUGGGCGUAAAGCGAAGCGUAGGCGGCUAUCUAAGUCGGGUGUGAAGCCUCGGCUCAACCGAGGAAGUGCAUUCGAAACUGGAUGGCUAGAGUAUCGGAGAGGAUAGCGGAAUUCCGGUGUAGAGGUGAAAUUCGUAGAUAUCGGGAAGGAACACCUGCGGUGUAGACGGCUUCUGGACACUAACUGACGCUGAGAUACGAAGCGUGGGUAGCAAACAGG
rnacentral:rRNA from 1 species